rnacentral:rRNA from 1 species
CCUACGGGAGGCUGCAGUGGGGAAUAUUGCACAAUGGGGGAAACCCUGAUGCAGCGAUGCCGCGUGGGUGAAGAAGCAUUUCGGUACGUAAAGCUCUAUCAGCAGGAAAGAAAAUGACGGUACCUGACUAAGAAGCCCCGGCUAACUACGUGCCAGCAGCCGCGGUAAUACGUAGGGGGCAAGCGUUAUCCGGAUUUACUGGGUGUAAAGGGAGCGCAGGCGGCAGGGCAAGUCUGAAGUGAAAUCCCAGGGCCCAACCCCGGGACUGCAUUUGAAACUGUCAGACUGGAGUGCCGGAGAGGUAAGUGGAAUUCCUAGUGUAGCGGUGAAAUGCGUAGAUAUCAGGAGGAACACCAGCGGCGAAGGCGGCUUACUGGACGGUAACUGACGUUGAGGCUCGAAAGCGUGGGGAGCAAACAGGAUUAGAUACCCGAGUAGUC